CGCGCUCCAGCUUAUUGCAGCAUUCUUCCAAGGUCACGACCCUCUGGUUGUGUCUGUGUUUUAGGAGUGUGGAGACUGUAAUGGAUGCGCUCGGCUGAUUUCAUACCUUCGUGGGUGUGAGUUCUGUGGUUCCCUCUGCGUGGUUGAAGGAUGCAGGUUCAUACACGGGGACCUGCCGUAAGGAUUCGUCCCUCUGAUCAUGGGCUCGAGGGUGGAGGUUCUGGUGCAGGAGUCUGGAGACGAGUAAUGGUCACCGUCAGCUGACGGAAGCGAACUACCCUAGUCGCCAGCUCCGUGGUCGAAUCUGUGGGUGAUAGC